UGAUGCUGCUGCAUUAGGCUCCAUCGCUCCAUCCCUCCCUCGGAGAGGAUGGAAAAAACAAGGAGUGGUUAUGUGAUUCCCCACAAGCGGGAGGAGAAGCGCACAAGAGAGAAAGGAAUGGCAGGGAGGGGGGGCGUUUCCCUGCACAGUAUUGCUUAUUCUCACACACUUCAGCAUGGAUACAAUGUAUGGCAUACGGAGCUGACUAAAGGAUGGACAUAACGCUCUUGGUGAGAACAGAAGACACGUCCACUUGAGUUGUCAUCAGCAGCAGCCCAGACAUGGACAGUUGGGAUGGAGGAAGAGGCGGGAGGUGCUGUCCUUAAAGGUUCGCCUUCCGCACAGACCUCGUCCUUCCACGCUGCAAUCUCAUUCAGCCGAAGGGAUGAACACAGAAGAGGAGAAUGAGCUCCAGAGCUAAGAGGAGGAGAUAGAAAGGAAUGGAGAAGGGGGAGG